rnacentral:rRNA from 1 species
GGGGGAACCCUGACCGAGCAACGCCGCGUGAGUGAAGAAGGUUUUCGGAUCGUAAAGCUCUGUUGUAAGAGAAGAACGAGUGUGAGAGUGGAAAGUUCACGCUGUGACGGUAUCUUACCAGAAAGGGACGGCUAACUACGUGCCAGCAGCCGCGGUAAUACGUAGGUCCCGAGCGUUAUCCGGAUUUAUUGGGCGUAAAGCGAGCGCAGGCGGUUAGAUAAGUCUGAAGUUAAAGGCUGUGGCUUAACCAUAGUACGCUUUGGAAACUGUUUAACUUGAGUGCAAGAGGGGAGAGUGGAAUUCCAUGUGUAGCGGUGAAAUGCGUAGAUAUAUGGAGGAACACC